UAUUACGUAUGGCCCCUGAUUUAACCCGUGGCCUUGUCCUUCUCAAGGAGGCUAUAAUAGGAUUUGGUAAAUUACGCAAAGUAAUUCACCUUCCUUUGUUGAGUGCCCACUUGGUGAAAAUCGAAUAAUUUUUCCUACUGAAGAAGAUUCUGUUUUAGUUCUUGGACUCUGGUUCAUUCCAUGCUCGAACAGAUGAACGUGAUUAUGGAGAUUUGAUUGGGAUUGUAUCUAUAAUGUAAAACAUGACAGUAAAAUUAGUAAAGUUUUAGUUCUUCGUACUGUUUUACGAGAUGAUGUGGGCGUAUCCAUUCGAUAAUUUAACCUCUGAAAAUAUCUUAAAUGUGAUGAGACGGUUGGUGAGAGCAAAUGCUUUGCAACGUAUAUAUUGAACACCUUUUUGAGCACAUCACAAUCCACUGCUAUUUUUUUAUUUAACCCUGCACACAUGACUUUUAUUCUACCAUGAUACAUGCACAAAAACACAAAUGAUACUAAUAUAUAUAAAAUACACCUUGGAAAA